rnacentral:rRNA from 1 species
GAUGAACGCUGGCGGCGUGCCUAAUACAUGCAAGUCGAGCGAACAGAUGAGGAGCUUGCUCCUCUGACGUUAGCGGCGGACGGGUGAGUAACACGUGGAUAACCUACCUAUAAGACUGGGAUAACUUCGGGAAACCGGAGCUAAUACCGGAUAAUAUAUUGAACCGCAUGGUUCAAUAGUGAAAGACGGUUUUGCUGUCACUUAUAGAUGGAUCCGCGCCGCAUUAGCUAGUUGGUAAGGUAACGGCUUACCAAGGCAACGAUGCGUAGCCGACCUGAGAGGGUGAUCGGCCACACUGGAACUGAGACACGGUCCAGACUCCUACGGGAGGCAGCAGUAGGGAAUCGGCCGCAAUGGGCGAAAGCCUGACGGAGCAACGCCGCGUGAGUGAUGAAGGUCUUCGGAUCGUAAAACUCUGUUAUUAGGGAAGAACAAAUGUGUAAGUAACUAUGCACGUCUUGACGGUACCUAAUCAGAAAGCCACGGCUAACUACGUG